rnacentral:tRNA from 1 species
GCCGAAGUGGUGGAACUGGCAGACACGCCAUCUUGAGGGGGUGGUGCUUCACGGCGUGCGGGUUCAAAUCCCGCCUUCGGCA